rnacentral:tRNA from 1 species
CAGAAUAUAGUUUAUUAAAAUAUUAAUUUUGGAGAUUAAAGAUAUAAUUAAUUUAUUAUUCUGA